UUCAACCAAAAUGUGCAACCUGUUUUCAAAAGUUUUAUAUUGUGUAUGUUACAAAAUUGCACCUUGUUGUACCUUUGGUUAAACCUUGUAGUUUGUAUAAUGAUGAGAUCUAUUAAACGAUUUUGUCUACUCUUAUAGAUUGAGAUGAAUUUAAACCUGAAUGAAAACCUUGUUGAUGAAUUAAUACCAGAUUCUUCACCUGAAUUUCAACCCAGACCCAAUCUUGUUCAAUUACUUGUUGAUCUUCUUCAACAACAUACCCAGAAUUUUCAAAACAAUCCUGAAAAGAAGUUCUUCGAGUCAACUUACCAAACCAACUUUUCCAUUCAAAUCUUUCAAGUUUUUGCAACCCCCAGAGUUUAAAGGGACUGUAGAUCCCCAUGAGGCCAAGAUAUGGCUAAGAGAGAUAGAGAAGACUUUGAAAUAAUUGGUGCAAAAGAAGAUAAGAAAGUUAUCUUUUAUGAUUAUAUGCUUACAUAUUGGUGGGAAGCUAAGCAAAUUCUAGUGUGAUACCAUGGUUAAGUUUACAAAGUUAUUCCUAGAGAAGUAUGUUCUUAAACACCUAGAGAAUCAAAUGGAACUCAAAUUUCUAGAGCUUAAGCAAGAGAAUAUGUUGGUAACUGAACUCGAAGCCCAGUUUAUCGAACUUUUCGAAAUUUAGUCCACAUCAAGUAAAUUCGAAUGAAAAUAAAGCUAGACGUUUUUAGUCGGGCUUAAAGCCCUGGAUUCAGAAUAAGGUUGCUGUUCUCGAAAUUGCUAGCUAUGCGACGUGAGUGCAUAAAGCUUGUAUUGUGGAGUUAAGCAGUGAGUUGUUUAACAAAGAGAAAGUCGAUAAGAAGCGGAAACCCCUGCAAAAUAAUCAAAAUGUUGAAAAGAAACCCUGGACUCAUAGUGUGAAGAAACUUUUGUGAAGUAAGAGAUGCCGCGAGCAUAGGUAAAAUAGAAGGAAAUCAAAGGUUCAGAACUUCGCAUACCGCGAACGUGUUACAAGGGAAACCCCAUUGCCUGAGUAUAAGAUUUGUGAAAAACGCUAUUUAUGAUAAUAUCACGUUGCACACUAUUUCGGCUCAAGUUGACAUCAAAUGUCAUUUUGAAAACUGAGAAGUUUAUUUUGUAUCUUGAGUCCUUUCUUUGUUUGGAAGUGACUACUCCUAAUAAUCGAUAUUCCUUUAAUGUUACAAAAUCUUUUGUGAUUCAUGAUUUAAUAUAAAAGAAUUGGAAUACAUAUAUACCACGAUGAUGAACUCGAUCUAAUAAUUUUAAGAGAUCGUCCCAUAUUUGAUCCUAUUUCGAUUCUAUCCACUGGAAAUCCUUGAUUUUUGAUUAAAGGAUGCAUCGCUCGCAUUCCUUGGAAGAAGUGUGUUGAGAAGCAAUUAUGGUAGAUCAAGUUUGUCCAAACUGUGAGAUAACGAUUCAAAAGAAAAUCUUUGAGAUAAAUCUUAUUUCCUUGAUAUUUCUUCAAUCUGAUUGGGAUGAACAACCCUAAUUAUAGGGGACACAAGGUAUACCUGUCUGUGUGAUAGGAGUUGGAUGGGACGCCAUCACUUGUGUGUGUUGUGAUUACAAGAAGGUUAAUAACCUUUAGUAGUGUCCUAAUUUGGACACGCAACACUUAGUUCGUUCGAUCGUAUUAGUCUCCCAAUCAUCCUUUUAUUUCAAAUGAAAGCUACUUUGAACACUCAUGAAUCGGUGAUUACCAUUGUGAAAGAAUUCCAUAUGUCCAAGAAAGUUUUAAAUUUCUGAUUUCCUUUAAAUUCUUUUCGAAAUGCUCAGGUUUCAAAUUCUUUGGUUUUGUUCUUUUCAGAAAUAUAGUUUUUCCUAAAGUGUUCUUAAGAAGGUGUUGUAUGAAGACGUCAAAUCCAGACCAUCGGAUUUGAGAGAUGCCACAUCGAUGAUCGAGAGUAAAAUAAGAUGACUAUUAAGAAUUAGUAUCUUCCACUGAAGAUGGAUGGUUUGUUUGAUCAAUUGAAGGGAGCAUCUUACUUUUCUAAGAUAAACUUGAGAUCUGGAUACCAUCAGUGAAAGAAUCAGGUUUGAGAAUGUACCUAAAACAUCCUUUAGAACCCAAUAUGGACAUUAUGAGUUCUUGGUGAUGCCUUUUUGGAUUAACUAAUGCACCUGCAACAUUUAUGGUUUUUAUAAAUAGAGUAUUUAAGAAAUAUUUGAAUAAGUUCAUUAUCAAUGAUAUUUUGAUUUAUUCUAAGACGAAAGAAUAACAUGAUAAGUAUCUUAGGAUACCAUGGAAAUUUUGAGGAAAGAAUAGCUAUAUGCGAAAUUUUCGGAAUGUGAAAUUUUGAUAGAGCAAGUAAAAUUUUUAAGGGCAAAUAUUUUCUAAGGAAGGAAUAUUGAUAGACCCGUGAAGAUUGGGGCAAUAACAAAUUUGGAAAAAAAAAAAAUAUAAACCCCAACCAAAGUGAGAAGUUUUCUUGGUUUAGUAGGAUAUUAUAGAAGAUUUGUAAAAGGUUUCUCUAAGAUUGCAAUUCUUUUGACCAAGUCGACUAGAAAAGGAGAGAAGUUUGAAUGGACCCCUAAGUGCGGGGAGAGUUUUCAGGAAUAAAAGAAGUGACUAACAACGGCUCCUAUGCCGACCCUACCUGACGAAAUAUGGAAUUUUGGUGAUCUAUAGUGACACGUCUGGACAACAUGAAAAAGUGAUAACAUGUGCUUCUAGGCAACUUAAGGAUUAUAAACUGAGAUAUCCUACCCAUGACCUAGAAUUAGCUACUAUAAUGUUUGCUUUAAAGAUUUGAUGACAAAUUACUUGUAUGGUGAGAAGUAUGAGAUAUUUACGGAUCAUAAAAGUUUAAAGUAUCUGUUUACUCGGAAGCAACUGAAUAUGAGACAAAGAAGAUGGUUAAAAUUGAUCAAGGAUUAUGAUUGUACGAUUAACUAUCACUCAGGAGAAGCCAAUUUAGUUGAUGAUGCUUUAAGUAGAAAAGAAAGAAUCAAUGUGAUGUCUUUACCAAAAGAGUUGAUUAGAGAGCUGGAAAAGUUAAAGGAUAAGGGUUCAGACCCUAAAGAAGGAAAUAUUUUUGAAAUGGUAAUACAAACAGAUUUGUUAGAAAGAAUCAAAAAGAGUCAAGAAUAUAUUAUUUGAGGAAAAGCGUUCGGAGUUGUCAGGAGACGAGUAUUUAAGUGUAAAGGAUGAUAAAGGAAUUAGAAUAUUUGUAAACAGGAUUCGGAUUCCUAACAUGACAGAUCUAAAAAGAUAUAUUUUAAGUGAAGCACACGAAUCAAGAUAUUCUAUUCACCCGGGAAGCACCAAGAUGUACCAAGAUUUAAAGAAGAAUUAUUGGUGGUCUAACAUGAAAAGAGAAAUCGUUGACUGGGUAAGUAAACGUCUGACUUGUCAAAAAGUGAAAGCGGAGCAUCAAAGACCUAGUGGAUUAUUGCAGCCGUUAGAGAUCCCAAAAUAAAAAUAGAAACACAUCACCAUCGAUUUUAUAGUUGGAUUACCAAAGACUCGAGCUAAUCAUGAUGCUAUUUAGGUUAUUGUAGAUCAGCUGACGAAAUUUGCACAUUUCCUUCCUAUUAGUGAAAAGUACACAAUGGAGAGAUUAGUAAAGUUAUAUAUGAAUGAGAUGGUGACUAGACAUGGAGUGCCAGUGUCAAUUGUUUCAGAUAGGGAUGCAAGAUUAAUUUCAAGAUUUUGGCAAGCUUUUCAGAAAUGUUUUGGGACUAAGCUCAAUCUAAGUACUGCAUAUCAUCCCUAGACAAAUGGGCAAAGUGAAAGAACAAUACAAACCAUGGAAGAUAUGUUAAGAAUUUGUUCUUUGGAUUUAAAAGGAAGCUGAGAUGAUCACUUACCUUUAGUGGAGUUUUCUUACAACAAUAGCUAUCAUUCUAGCAUAGGAAUGGCCCCUUAUGAAGCGUUAAGUCAGAAAGUGUAGAUCACCUCUUGUUUGGGAUGAGGUUCGAGAAAAAAAAAAGAUAUUGGGACCAAAUUAGUCCAACAAACCACCCAGUCAAUCGAGAAGAUACGUAAAAGAUUAGUUGCAGCUCAAGAUAGACAAAAGAAAUAUGCGGACUUAGAAUGAAAAGAGAAAACAUUUGAGGUCGGAGAGAAAGCACUUUUGAAAGUAUCACCUUGGAAAGGAAUAGUCAGGUUUGGAAAGAGAAGCAAAUUGAAUCCUAGAUAUAUCGGAUCAUUUGAGAUUUUAAGAAAAGUUGGAGCUGUGUCCUAUCAACUAGCUUUACCUCCAUAUCUACAACAUAUUCAUGAUGUAUUUCAUGUAUCUCUUUUGAAAGCUUACAAGACCGAUGAUCGGCAUAUUCUAUAUUAUGAGCCAAUAAACGUCCAGUCUGAUUUAACAUAUGAAGAGAAGCCAAUAAAGGUUGUGGAUUCAAAAUUACAAGAAUUAAGAAAUAAGAAAGUGAAAUUAGUAAAAGUAAUUUGGCGAAAUCAAGUUGUAGAAGAAGCCACGUGGGAACUGGAAGAAGCAAUGAAAGAGAAGUAUCUGGAAUUGUUUCAGCAUCAAAUCUGAUUCCGAGGUCGGAAUCCUUUAAAGGAGGGAAGGAUGUAACAACCGCGAAAUUUCAAGUUUGUAAAGAAUUUAAUUAUUUUAUACGGUUAAGGUUAUUAUUGGAAUAAUUAUGAAUUUAUUGUUAAUAAGAUAUUGGUACGUAAAUAAUUAAGGCUAGUACGAGUCUAAAUUAUAUUGCUAGCAUAUUAAAUUUCGGUUAUGUAAAUCAGUUGGUAGAUGUAUAGUUUUGUUCAGAACCAGAGAUUAUAAAUAUUGCGGGUUAGCUAAAAUAAAUAUUUCGAUAUAAUUUUUUAACGCUCUAAAAUAUUUAGAAAAGUAUUGGAAUAAUUAUUCAAUUAAUUAUUCUAGUAUUUUUUUUUAUAAUCUCAAAAGAUAUAUAUUCUAAUAGGAAUCGUUAAGUGAGUCGGGACUGAAAUAUUGGUAAAUAAACGAAACAGGAGUAAUUAAAACGAGACGUAACUACGGUGCGAGAUAAUAAUUAAAUAAAAUAAUUUAAAUACAAAACCAUUAAACAAGCCGGUGGUUUUGAUUGCACACUGGAAUUAGAAAACUUGGUGCCCUGUUGUGUAGCGGCCAAGUAAUUAUCUAAUUAAGGUUAAUUAAAAAGAGUUAUUAGAGGCUAACUGUGAUUAAGUGGUAGUAUAAAAACCAACCCAAAAGAGUGGUUCACCAUUUUGGCUCAGUAAAGAAAGAAAUGGUACUAGUACAUACUCGUUAAGCAAGAGAAAAGGAUAAGACAAGUAAAGAGUGAGUAUGGCACAACUCAAGAGAAUCGCCCGGAAGCGGGUUUUGGCAAGUAAAAUGACAAGGCACAUCACAUGAGCUGAAGCUGCUAGGCAACGCUGUUUGGUGAUGCCAACUAUAGUUAUUAUAAUAGUCUGUUAUCAGACUCGCUAUUAUGUAAUAAACUUAGACUUGGUAGUAGUGUUGUAAACGAUCGACCCAGGACUUGUGGGGCAAGAGUUGGUUUGUAUAAAUAUUAAAAUGUAAUGCAAGUGUUGUUUUGAGCUA